UUUGAUCCUGGCUCAGAUUGAACGCUGGCGGCAGGCCUAACACAUGCAAGUCGAGCGGCAGCGGAAAGUAGCUUGCUACUUUGCCGGCGAGCGGCGGACGGGUGAGUAAUGUCUGGGGAUCUGCCUGAUGGAGGGGGAUAACUACUGGAAACGGUAGCUAAUACCGCAUAACGUCGCAAGACCAAAGCGGGGGACCUUCGGGCCUCGCGCCAUCAGAUGAACCCAGAUGGGAUUAGCUAGUAGGUGGGGUAACGGCUCACCUAGGCGACGAUCCCUAGCUGGUCUGAGAGGAUGACCAGCCACACUGGAACUGAGACACGGUCCAGACUCCUACGGGAGGCAGCAGUGGGGAAUAUUGCACAAUGGGCGCAAGCCUGAUGCAGCCAUGCCGCGUGUAUGAAGAAGGCCUUCGGGUUGUAAAGUACUUUCAGCGAGGAGGAAGGCAGUAAGGUUAAUAACCUUACUGAUUGACGUUACUCGCAGAAGAAGCACCGGCUAACUCCGUGCCAGCAGCCGCGGUAAUACGGAGGGUGCAAGCGUUAAUCGGAAUUACUGGGCGUAAAGCGCACGCAGGCGGUUUGUUAAGUCAGAUGUGAAAUCCCCGAGCUUAACUUGGGAACUGCAUUUGAAACUGGCAAGCUAGAGUCUUGUAGAGGGGGGUAGAAUUCCAGGUGUAGCGGUGAAAUGCGUAGAGAUCUGGAGGAAUACCGGUGGCGAAGGCGGCCCCCUGACAAAGAC
rnacentral:rRNA from 1 species